ensembl:lncRNA
GAUCCCAUCUGAAAAGACUUAGACUAACACCAGAAAGAUGCAAAGAAAGAUGACAGUAAGGGGCAAGUUUAAAUACCACCUAGCUUGAAAAGAAGUGGCUCAUAGGAGAUAUGAUAGAGUUCUAAAACCUUAAGUGAUUUGAGCAGGCAAAUACCAAAUGACUGUUUGCUAUUUCUCAUAGCAUAAGGCUAGAGGAUUUUCAAUGAAACUAUCAAGUYGUAUGAUUAAAACAAACAAAAGGAGAAUAUAAAACACAGAGAGAUUAUAGAACUCAUUUCCACAGAAGCUUACGAAGGUAUUAAUUAAGAGAUUUAAUUUCUGCAGGUUCAGUCUGUCAGUAGGUAUUAUUAAAGCAAUAGUCUAAGUGCAAUUUAGACCUCGAGAGGUCCCUAACCUGUGUUGAUUUUUCUGGAACUUGAGGGGAAUUAUGUCGGUUGAACUACUCUAUUUGCACUAUUUAUAUUGUUCCUGAAACCUCUCCUACUAGAUACUUUCGGAGACAGGGCACUGGAAUACAAGCGACUUUUGUCUAACCCCUGUUCUUAUCAACUUUAUGCAAAGUUAUUAAAAAUUUUAUGUACCUGACUCCAAGUUAAUUUGUACUGAAGCAAAUACCUAAGUAUUUUUGAGGUCCUAGUCUAAUUUCAGGCUUUUUUUCAUGUGAAGUCAAGUUGUUCUUCUGCUUACUGUAAUUUAAUUUUCCGUGUUUAAAAUUACAGCUAACUUUGUCAAUGGAGCAGCAAAAUUAGAAGAUGGAGCAUCACCAAGAAUAAGAAAAUCAAAACCAGUAUAAGCUAAUACUAGAGGGCAACAUUUGACAGAAGACUGUGACUUUAAAAAAUUGAUCCUGCAAAACUAUUAUUUGGAUGUCUUAUUAUAUAAAUGGACACUAUCAGGUUCUGAAUUGACCACUUGGCGUGGAGUUGAGUGGAAGUUGUAUUGUGGCAUAAAGAUGUGGACAAUGCUGUUGCUCUUUCUCACUUCUGUUUAAGUCCAACAAACAGCUGUAAUGAAUCAAAGUAGGCUCUGAAAUGUAGGAUGUUUUCAGAACUUCAUUAACUCCAGCUCCCAGGUACACAUGAGAAUUUCUAAAUGCUCAGUAUUGCACAAUGCUACCUAACUCUCUGUAAAUAAUUAAUUAGUUUCAUUAUGUUGAAGAUAAAUGGAUUGGAGUGGGGGAGGCAAUGUUUCAUCUACAUUUGUUUCUUAAUAUUAUAAGAAUGGGUUACUGCAUCCACUUAAAUUGAGAGAACCUAUGCACAAUGCCUUUCUUACACCAUCUGGAUGGUGACUUUCAUCACAAAAGUUGCUAGUAGUUAGAGAAAUGGGUAGAACAACAUUGAUAUUGUAAGCUUAGAGGUGUAGUUUUAAACUUUUGUAGCUGAAACUGAGUUUAUGGAUUUAUUCAUCAUGAGCAAGAGAGUAAUGUUUACAAACUAAUAUGCUCGUAACAUUUUUUGUUAUAAUUAUUGCCUAAAAUUCUUCUGUAGAGUUGCUGUACACUUAAACCAGCAACGUACUCCAUAUUACAUUGAUAAAUGUGUGAUUCAACAAAUAUACUGGUUUGUUUUUAAUGGCUGUUAAACUGUAUUUCCAUUUCAGUUAAUUGAUUUGUCUGUCCUUUUCCAGUUAAACAAUUAGAGUGUUGAAAGGCUUUUUUGCUUUUAAUGCAUUAGGAAAAAUGAAUUUGCGUAAAUAUCAUUUCAUCAAUCAUUGUAUAAGCUAAAAUUGUGCUUUAGUGAAAGGUUGCUGAAAAUACUGUCAGUUAUUUUUGCUGAAGCACAACAGAGUGUUUUACGUAGGUUUUGUUGUUUGGCAUGUAAUCCAUAGCACAAGGUCUGUUUUUAAUGUAUGUAAUUUUUGGUUGGUGGUAUUCUCCCACUAUGUAUUUCUGAUGCAUCUCAUUUUAGUCUAAUUUUAUUUAAUUUCCUUUGAUGACAGUAGAUCAUCUGUUUGAUUAUUAUGCUAAAUCAAUUACUUUUGGUAGUCUG